GGGCAAGUCUGUGCCGCGGUUUGCACGGUUUUUUCUGUGGCGUAUUCCGGCUACUUCCUGACCCACCUGACUCGUCACCUCACACGCGGAUGGAGACACGCCCGUCCUUUGGGCUCACCAGCAGGGUCAGCACCUCCUCUGGCUCCCUCUCUUGCUGAGGAAGAGGCUGAAGAGGAGCCAAAUGACAAGAAGCCUCCAUCUGUUGU